rnacentral:lncRNA from 1 species
GGGAACGCUGAGUCUUGUUGGGUCUUGAGUUGUGUGGUUUGGUAGCUCCUGUGGGUCCUCAAAUAGCCAAGAAUGGCAACGGCUGGUGUUGGGCUGAGGGGGAACUCCGCUGGUUUGUACUGCAUUGAGUAGUACACAGCUCAUGGGGCCUUUUGGGGUAGUGUUGAGAUAGGUUUUGUCAUAUUUGUAUAUUUUUUAUACAAAUACAUAUCAUGCUGUGUGUUUCCUAGGUCCACGUUGGGUUGGGUUGGCUGUUGAGUCUGAGUAAGUCUUGUCCAACUGCGUUACACAGGAUUUGUGAGCUCCCUAGAGUUGUGCUGGAUCAAGUCAGGUAGUCCCCCAUGGCACUGUGGAGGUCCAUUGUGUGUUCCAUGCAUGGUGUUGUUGAGUUGUGUUGAGACAUGUCGAGAAUUGUGUGGCGUUGUAUUUCUUCUAGGACCAUGUUUUUUUAGGUUCUGUGAACUUGUGAGUCAUGUAGAAAUACACAGUCAAGUAAUAGAAUAUGAGCUUUCUAGGUCACAGUGGGUUAAGUUGGGUUGGAACCUAUGGCUGAGUUCAUCUUUUAAGGGUUUUGUCAAGUUGUAUCAAUAAGGCUGGUUCAGUUGGGUCAUAACACUGUUGGAGUCUCACAGGACCAUGCUGAGUUUGGUCAUUGUGUGAAUUCUGUUGGAUUGAGUUGGACUAUAUGUAUGGGAUCCACAGGGCAAUGUUAGGUGGUUUUGCACUUAGUGGGAGCACCAGGACCUAAGGAUAACAGCACUUGGCAAGAGUCAUGUAUCCAGGAGGAAGUGUGGUGUUGUGGAUCUGGGCAAUGGACUGAACCACUGGCCCAGCGUUACUCCCUGGAGGUGAGGGACUGGGUCUUGAAUCCCUGGAUUCAGGUGUUCAUCAAAAGGGCCUCCAGGUGAACUAGGAAGAUGGAGAUGCUCUUUCCACUUACCCCACAUAGAGUUCAUCUUGCCCCAGCUCUGUCUGUCCUCCCUUGUGGUUUAGCAUGGAGACAUGGAAGUCAGAGCCAUUAGGGAAGACAGACAGGGAGAAAGCUGUGUGUACUCUGUUCAGACAUAAUAAGGGAACAAAAAGGAGGGGAAGACAGACACCCAGAGAGAUGGUGGGACAGAAAGAGAGAAAGAAAGAAAGAGAGACCCAUAGGAGGGAAACAGAGACCCAUAGAGAGAAGACUCCUUAGGGGAAUAGAGACCCAGAGGAAAGGGGACAGGGACCCAGAGAGAAGUACAGAGACCAAUAAUGGGGCAUGGAGACCUGGAGGGGGGUGUCAGACACCCCAAGAGAGAAGGACAGACACCAGAAAUGAAGACAGACCACACAGCAUCUGAGAAAGAAAGCCCCUCCUUCCCCGCCCCCCCAAAAGGCAGAAAAACUGGUAUUCUUGACCCUAAAGAGAGACCCAGUCUCUGUUCUCAGAAUCGUAAGAGAUCAUCCAUCUUCCUGCAGCUCAGGAAGACUGUCUGACAGUUGGAUGUCUCUGUGUUUUCCAGGAGAGGAACCCAAGGCUCAAAAGGGCAAUAGCUUCCCAAGGUCACACAGCACACCAGGGUGGGGGUGCUUGUGGCUGGCUGCUGGGCUUCACAUGUUCCCACAGUCCGUGGUGUUCAGGGACUUCCUGAGGCCAGUAGUCUCAUGUCUUAUAGAUGAGGAAACUAAGGCUCAGAAGGUACGCUGUUACCCAAGGUAGCAAAGCCAAACAUUUUCUAGAGUCAGAAUGAAAGGGCAUUUAGAGGAGGAAGAGGAGGAUGGUUACAAUCGCUAACACAUAUAGGGCUUCCUAUGUGCCAGGCAUUGUUCAAGGUAUUGUAUUAAUUUAUUAAAACCUAUCCAGUGGUUUACAGAGUGUUGCCGUUAUUAUUUUUAGCUCUUCAUUAGCACUCCUUUUUUGAGUCAAAUAAACUCUUCCUUCGAGGCACCAGAGGGAAAUUGGUUUGAGGACCCACCUCCCUGUGAGCCCAUCUAAGCAACUCAGAAUAUAGCAAAGAAAUUCAGUUUGGAAACUCCAGAUUUAAUUAAACUACCUUUUUUUUUUGAAUAUUUUUUUAGUUGUAGUUGGACACAAUACCUUUUACUUAUUUAUUUAUUUUUAUGUGGUGCUGAGGAUUGAACCCAGCGCCUUGCAUAUUCUAGGCAAGCACUCUAGCGCUGAGCCACAGCCCCAGGCCCUAAACUAACUUUUUUAUAUAACAAGUGAGAAGAUACAGAUGGCAGGAAGAGUUUGAUAAUGGUUGAAAAAAAUACCUUUAGGCAGUCAUUCUUUUUGAAAUGGAUAAAAAGUUACAUUCAGAGACAGAAAUGGAGGCAGACUCCCCUCUUCACAGCAAAAGACAAAGCAGAGUAUUGGGGUGCAGAACCCAUCACAGAGACACUCAGGAGACCUGGAGAGAGGACCAAUCCCAGCAGAAGAGAGAAUUCCAAGGGCAAGAAAGAGGAGGGCAGAGGGCUGGGAAGAGUAAGAGACCAAGAGAGGAGAGAGAGACCCAGAGAAGGGCGGCAGGCAGGCUGUUUCCUGGUUCCUCCUCUUUGAACACUCAUCCCUGUUACCCUUCAGGGCCUGGAAAUUACACAGCGUCCUCUUCUCAGGGAGUGGAUUGUGCCUGGAUGGGGGGAGUGCGAAGAGGUCAGAGAGGUGACGGGAAUGGUGACGUCAUUCAGACUGGGAAGUGGCCCUUUCCCCACCUCCAGUAAACAACUGGAGCCGCCCUCUGUGUUGCCUUGGCUGCCAUGGGACAGAGAGGGGAACACCCUAAUCCGGGGACACCCUUCCUGCCACCUUGCCAUGCUAUAUUUAGGCUGAGGGAGGGGUGCCUGAUGACCCCCCCCCAAGGCAGGUGUCGGCUUUCUUUCUAAAAAUAGCUCAGAGGAGGGGAGCAGAGUCCCAGGAUGGAGGUGUGGUAGGGUGCAGGCCCUGCCACCCAUAGGGCCGUCCCAGGACUCUCUAGCUCCUACCUCAUCUCUUAAGGGCUCUCUCCGAGGCCCUGUCCCUCCCCGGGUUCCCUCCCCUUCUGUUGGGAUGUCUGCCCCUCUGUCUUCUCUGCCCAGGUCUUUGUUCCCCAUCCCUCGCCCUAGGUCUUUGCCCGCCUCUUUCCCUUAGUUUCUGUCCUUUUCCCUCUAUUUCUAUGGCUUCUCCUCCCCUCUGCAUCUGAAUAAUUUCAGUUUCUCUAGACAGGUCACCCUGUUCUUAAAACAUUUUUGUCCCCGAGUCCUUUAAUACCUUGAACUUUUCUUGUCUGAGCUCAGGACAAGACCCUCUCCCCAGUCCCCACCCAGGAAAUUCCAGGAGACAGGACUCUGUAGGAGAGCCCCCCACAUCCACUGUCUCUGAGGCGUCGGGCCUUAUCGCUGCCCAAGCCCAGCUGGUUAAUGUCUGGCGGGGAGCUCCUGGGAAAGUGGGGAUGAGAGCAGAGGGUGGGAAUCUGCCCCCAGAUUGACACUGAAUUGGCAAAAGACUGCAUAGGAUCUCAGGCCCAUCUCCUGGGUGUGAGGGAGGAGGGCUGGGGCCUGGACCUCUGGAUCUGAGGGGGGGGCCUGAAAGAGGAGGCCUGGACCCUGGAUCCGAGGGAGGAGAACUGGGUCUAGACACACGAAUCUGCGGGAGGAAGGCUGGGAUCCCGGACCCUUGGUCUGAGGGAGGAGGGCUGGGGUUGGUACCCCGGGGUCUGGAGCG